rnacentral:misc_RNA from 1 species
GAAAUGCGAUAAGUAGUGUGAAUUGCAGAAUUCAGUGAAUCAUCGAAUCUUUGAACGCACAUUGCGCCCUUUGGUAUUCCAAAGGGCAUGCCUGUUCGAGCGUCAUUUGUACCCUCAAGCUUUGCUUGGUGUUGGGCGUCUUGUCUCUAGCUUUGCUGGAGACUCGCCUUAAAGUAAUUGGCAGCCGGCCUACUGGUUUCGGAGCGCAGCACAAGUCGCACUCUCUAUCAGCAAAGGUCUAGCAUCCAUUAAGCCUUUUUUCAACUUUUGGCCUCGGAUCAGGUAGGGAUACCCGCUGAACUUAAGC